rnacentral:rRNA from 1 species
GAUGAACGCUAGCUACAGGCUUAACACAUGCAAGUCGAGGGACCGGCGCACGGGUGAGUAACACGUAUCCAACCUGCCCUUUACUAGUGGAUAGCCUUUCGAAAGAAAGAUUAAUACCCGAUAUAAAGGAGGGGGAUUCGUUGCAUUAGUUUGUUGGUGAGGUAACGGCUCACCAAGCAUUCGAUGGUUAGUGGUGCUGAGAGGAAGGGUCACCAGAAUGGAGCUAAGACCCGGUCCAAAAUCCUACGAGGGGCUGCAGAGAGGGGUAUUAGUCAAUGGGCGCUAGCCUGAACCAGCCGAGUGGCGGAAAGGAUGACGGCUUAUGAGUCGUAAACUUCUUUUAUAUAAGAGUAGGUAUUAUAUGAAUAAGGAUCGGCUAACUCCGUGCCAGCAGCCGCGGUAAUUC